GAAUGCUGGGAUGAGACGGCUUCAGUUCAGAAGUAGAGUUGGUGAAUAGUGGGAGAGGCCCUGGGGCUGCCUGCCAUGGUAGUUAGAAAUGUUGAAUAUUCGCGUUCUGAGGAUGAAGGCACAGACUAGGAAGUUUGCACAAGGUCACCAGGUUGCUGGUGGCCCCCUUUCUAGCUUUGCUCUUGGAACCGAAGACAGCAUGCUGCUGAAAAAAAUCCAUUUAAAUGAUGCUAAAUGAAUUUUGUCAACCUUUGGAAGGAAAACACAAAGUGCAGCUUUCGGGAUGUGAUUGUGUUUAAAGAGAUGUUCUCUGAAAUACAGACGUGCCCCAGUGAGGGGUGAAUUUAUCUGAGUCCUUCCCAGGUUAUAUCAAGCAGACAGACCUUUCAGAAUGAGGGAUCUGGCCCCAAAAACCCUGGGACUGUGCCACCGGGGGUAAACCUUUGGGAACAGGGACAUGGCCUACAAAAAGGAAUCAUCACCCAGAUCUUGGAUCAAGGCAGCUGUGGCAAAUGGCAUUUCAAUAAAU